UGAGUACGAGAUGCUACGGCGUCGAAGCAGUCUAUGUCAGACUUCCAAGAAAAGCUCGCACUGUCAUAAACAAAUAAUGCCUGUACCAUAACCGACACAGGUGGGUAGGUAGAGUAUACUAAGGGGCGCGAGAUAACUCUCUCUAAGGAACUCGGCAAAAUAACUCCGUAACUUCGGGAGAAGGAGUGCCUUCUUUAAGAAGGUUGCAAUAACAAGAUCCAAGCAACUGUUUAUCAAAAACACAGGUCUCCGCUAAGUCGCAAGACGAUGUAUGGGGGCUGACGCCUGCCCAGUGCCAGAAGGUUAAAGAAAUUGGUUAGCUUUGGCGAAGCUGAUGACUGAAGCCCUGGUGAACGGCGGCCGUAACUAUAACGGUCCUAAGGUAGCGAAAUUCCUUGUCGGGUAAGUUCCGACCCGCACGAAAGGCGUAAUGAUUUGGAUACUGUCUCGGAGAGGGACUCGGUGAAAUAGACUUGUCUGUGAAGAUGCGGACUACCUGCACCAGGACAGAAAGACCCUAUGAAGCUUUACUGUAACUUGAAAUUGAAAUUGGACUUUAUUUGCGCAGCAUAGGUGGAAGGCUUGGAAGGUAUUCUUGCGGGACUACUGGAGCCAUCAGUGAGAUACCACUCCUAUAAUGUUAGAUUUCUAACUUUGAAUCAUGAUCUGGUCAAAGAACAGUUUCAGGCGGGCAGUUUGACUGGGGCGGUCGCCUCCCAAAUGGUAACGGAGGCGUACAAAGGUUUCCUCUGAACGGGUAGAAAUCGUAUCUAGAGUUUAAAGGCAUAAGGAAGCUUGACUGUGAGACCUACAAGUCGAGCAGGGACGAAAGUCGGUCUUAGUGAUCUGACGGUGCUGAGUGGAAAGGCCGUCACUCAACGGAUAAAAGUUACUCUAAGGAUAACAGGCUGAUCUCCCCCAAGAGUUCACAUCGACGGGGAGGUUUGGCGCCUCGAUGUCGGCUCAUCGCGUCCUGGGGCGGUAGUACGUCCCAAGGGUUGGGCUGUUCGCCCAUGAAAGCGGUACGCGAGCUGGGUUCAGAACGUCGUGAGACAGUUCGGUCCAUAUCCGGUGUAGGCGUUAGAAUAUUGAGAGGAGCCUUCUUUAGUACGAGAGGACCGAGAAGGACAUACCUCUGGUGUACCAGUUAUCGUGCCAACGGUAAACGCUGGGUAGCUAUGUAUGGAGAGGAUAACCGCUGAAAGCAUCUAAGUGGGAAGCCCACCUCAAGAUGAG
rnacentral:rRNA from 1 species